rnacentral:rRNA from 1 species
AUUGAACGCUGGCGGCAUGCCUUACACAUGCAAGUCGAACGGCAGCACGGGUGCAUGCACCUGGUGGCGAGUGGCGAACGGGUGAGUAAUACAUCGGAACAUGUCCUGUAGUGGGGGAUAGCCCGUCGAAAGCCGGAUUAAUACCGCAUACGAUCCACGGAUGAAAGCUGGGGCCCUUCGGGCCUCGCGCUAUAGGGUUGGCCGAUGGCUGAUUAGCUAGUUGGUGGGGUAAAGGCCUACCAAGGCGACGAUCAGUAGCUGGUCUGAGAGGACGACCAGCCACACUGGGACUGAGACACGGCCCAGACUCCUACGGGAGGCAGCAGUGGGGAAUUUUGGACAAUGGGCGAAAGCCUGAUCCAGCAAUGCCGCGUGUGUGAAGAAGGACUUCGGGUUGUAAAGCACUUUUGUCAGGAAAGAAAUCCUUGACUCUAAUACAGUCGGGGGAUGACGGUACCGGAAGAAUAAGCACCGGCUAACUACGUG